GACGAACGCUGGCGGCGUGCCUAACACAUGCAAGUCGAGCGAGUGAAUCUCCUUCGGGAGUGAAGCUAGCGGCGGACGGGUGAGUAACACGUGGGCAACCUGCCUCAUAGAGGGGAAUAGCCUUUCGAAAGGAAGAUUAAUACCGCAUAAGUUUGUAGCUUCGCAUGAAGUAGCAAUUAAAGGUGCAAUCCACUAUGAGAUGGGCCCGCGGCGCAUUAGCUAGUUGGUGAGGUAACGGCUCACCAAGGCGACGAUGCGUAGCCGACCUGAGAGGGUGAUCGGCCACAUUGGGACUGAGACACGGCCCAGACUCCUACGGGAGGCAGCAGUGGGGAAUAUUGCACAAUGGGGGAAACCCUGAUGCAGCAACGCCGCGUGAGUGAUGACGGCCUUCGGGUUGUAAAGCUCUGUCUUCAGGGACGAUAAUGACGGUACCUGAGGAGGAAGCCACGGCUAACUACGUGCCAGCCGCCGCGGUAAGAC
rnacentral:rRNA from 1 species